UACGUAGGCAGCAAGCGUUGUUCGGAGUUACUGGGCGUAAAGAGUAUGUAGGCGGUGUCCUAAGUUCGGUGUGAAAUCUCCCGGCUCAACUGGGAGGGUGCGCCGAAGACUGGGAUGCUGGAGUCUCGGAGAGGAACGCGGAAUUCCUGGUGUAGCGGUGAAAUGCGUAGAUAUCAGGAGGAACACCAGUGGUGUAGACGGCUUUCUGGAACGGUACUGACGCUGAGACGCGAAAGCGUGGGGAGCGAACAGG
rnacentral:rRNA from 1 species